UCUAAGUACGUGCCUAAGAAAGGUGAAACCGCGAAUGGCUCAUUAAAUCAGUUAUGGUUCCUUAGAUCGUACCUUACUACUUGGAUAACUGUGGUAAUUCUAGAGCUAAUACAUGCAGCAGAGCUCCGACCUUCGGGGACGAGCGCUUUUAUUAGACCAAGACCAAUCGGACUUCGGUCCGAAGCUCAUGGUGACUCUGGAUAACUUUGGGCUGAUCGCACGGUCUCGUACCGGCGACGCAUCUUUCAAGUGUCUGCCUUAUCAACUUUCGAUGGUAGGUUAUGCGCCUACCAUGGUCGUAACGGGUAACGGGGAAUCAGGGUUCGAUUCCGGAGAGGGAGCCUGAGAAACGGCUACCACAUCCAAGGAAGGCAGCAGGCGCGCAAAUUACCCACUCCCGGCACGGGGAGGUAGUGACGAAAAAUAACAAUACGGGACUCUAUUGAGGCCCCGUAAUUGGAAUGAGUACACUCUAAAUCCUUUAACGAGGAUCUAUUGGAGGGCAAGUCUGGUGCCAGCAGCCGCGGUAAUUCCAGCUCCAAUAGCGUAUAUUAAAGUUGUUGCGGUUAAAAAGCUCGUAGUUGGAUCUCAGUUCCAGACGGGUGGUCCACCCCUGGUGGUUACUGCCUGGCCUGAACAAAUCCAGCCGGUUUUCCUUGAUGCUCUUCACCGAGUGUCUUGGGUGACCGGCACGUUUACUUUGAAAAAAUUAGAGUGCUCAAAGCAGGCGUGACGCCUGAAUAAUGGUGCAUGGAAUAAUGGAAUAGGACCUCGGUUCUAUUUUGUUGGUUUUCGGAACACGAGGUAAUGAUUAAGAGGGACAGACGGGGGCAUUCGUAUUGCGACGCUAGAGGUGAAAUUCUUGGACCGUCGCAAGACGAACUACU
rnacentral:rRNA from 2 species